rnacentral:rRNA from 1 species
UACGGAGGAUGCAAGCGUUAUCCGGAAUGAUUGGGCGUAAAGCGUCCGCAGGUGGCAAUGUAAGUCUGCUGUCAAAGCGUCUGGCUCAACCAGAUAAAGGCAGUGGAAACUACAUAGCUAGAGUAAGGUAGGGGUAGAGGGAAUUCCUGGUGUAGCGGUGAAAUGCGUAGAGAUCAGGAAGAACACCGGUGGCGAAGGCGGCUACCUGGACCGGUUCUGACGCUGAUGCGCGAAAGCGUGGGUAGCAAACAGG